AAAAAGGCCAAAUCAAAGCUUAGAGCAAUUAUAAAAGCAACAAGUUGUAACUACAAUUACAUGCUCAUAUUUUCUCAGAUUUUUAUACACUUUUCGGGUACCUGUGAUGGACUAACCUUGAAAUACCACAUGUUGGGCUGUGAUCAUACUGCGUGUGACAGCCACAGAGCACCUUGCAGGGGACCCUGCUGUGCAAGGUCAACAACACUCUGAUGGCCUGUACCCGCCCUGGCAGGUUCGGUGCCUUUUGGACCAAAGAAAGUGGCUGCAGUGACGCUGGGCUGGGUUCUGAGCCGAGCUUAGGCUUUCGAAACUGUUAUCUUCAACUUUUUGUCCUUGUCUCUUGCUUUUGGAACUCUGAGCAUCCGUAUGGGAAGUCCGACUGCUAUAAAGCCACAGUGCCCAUGGGACCAUAUGAGGGGACACAUUCAGAGGUCCUGAGACUCCCUGCAGAGUCCCCAUCCACCCUAUCCUUCGGACGUUCAAGUCAUUCCAUAUAGGUUCCAGACACUGGGAGCAAAGUGGUUUCCCUAGAGAUUACAGCAUGCACCCUUGACAUAUCAUUAUUCUACCUUAAAUUAGAAGAUUUUUCAUUUCGUGGACAAUGUGAGUACUUUGCAACACUUUAGUCCUACUUACUCCUCUCAACUUUGGUACUAUUGUUAUAAUAAACUUGAAUUCAACAUAUAUUUUUAAAACCCAAAAGCCAUUUCUAUAAUUGUUUUUAACACCCAAUGUUCCUUUAGGUUUAAUCUAAAUGUUAGCACUUUCCAGUUUCUUCUGGCAUUGCCAUAUUUCCACCAGGAGUUAUUCUCCUUCUACCUGAACAUCUCCCUAUAGUGUUUACUCGAGGAUCUGCUGGUAAUCAAUUCUCUGUUUUUGUUUGUCUAAAAACUUUUUAAUACACUUUUUAAAAUGUUUAUUUAUUUUUGAGAGGG